rnacentral:rRNA from 1 species
UACGAAGGGGGCUAGCGUUGCUCGGAAUCACUGGGCGUAAAGGGUGCGUAGGCGGGUCUUUAAGUCAGGGGUGAAAUCCUGGAGCUCAACUCCAGAACUGCCUUUGAUACUGAGGAUCUUGAGUCCGGGAGAGGUGAGUGGAACUGCGAGUGUAGAGGUGAAAUUCGUAGAUAUUCGCAAGAACACCAGUGGCGAAGGCGGCUCACUGGCCCGGUACUGACGCUGAGGCACGAAAGCGUGGGAGCAAACAGG